rnacentral:rRNA from 1 species
GGGGAUAAGCGGAAGAAAUUCCGUCUAAUACCGCGUAAUAACUCCGAGAGGCAUCUCAUGGAGUUUAAAGGGUAACACCGGCUACGGAUGGCCAUGCGGCGCAUUAGCUAGUUGGCGGGGUAACGGCCCACCAAGGCGACGAUGCGUAGGGGUUCUGAGAGGAAGGUCCCCCACACUGGUACUGAGACACGGACCAGACUCCUACGGGAGGCAGCAGUGAGGAAUAUUGGUCAAUGGGCGCGAGCCUGAACCAGCCAAGUCGCGUGAGGGAAGACGGUCCUAUGGAUUGUAAACCUCUUUUGUCGGGGAGCAAAAGACGUCACGUGUGGCGUUCCGAGAGUACCCGAAGAAAAAGCAUCGGCUAACUCCGUGCCAGCAGCCGCGGUAAUACGGAGGAUGCGAGCGUUAUCCGGAUUUAUUGGGUUUAAAGGGUGCGCAGGCGGAAGAUCAAGUCAGCGGUAAAAUUGAGGGGCUCAACCUCUUCGAGCCGUUGAAACUGGUUUUCUUGAGUGAGCGAGAAGUAUGCGGAAUGCGUGGUGUAGCGGUGAAAUGCAUAGAUAUCACGCAGAACUCCGAUUGCGAAGGCAGCAUACCGGCGCUCAACUGACGCUCAUGCACGAAAGUGUGGGUAUCGAACAGGAUUAGAUACCCUGGUAGUCCACACAGGAAACGAUGAA